UUAAUUGAAGCCAAAAAUAGAGGCCUUCCAUUGUUAAUGGAAUAAAUGAUUUAUAUUAAUCCAAUUAAA
rnacentral:tRNA from 1 species